UAAGACCUGCAGGACCCUACCCCACAUCUUCUGAAUGCAACCCAGACACUUUAAUUAAGCUAAGACCUU
rnacentral:tRNA from 1 species